rnacentral:rRNA from 1 species
AUUGAACGCUGGCGGCAGGCCUAACACAUGCAAGUCGAGCGGAUGAAGGGAGCUUGCUCCUGGAUUCAGCGGCGGACGGGUGAGUAAUGCCUAGGAAUCUGCCUGGUAGUGGGGGAUAACGUCCGGAAACGGGCGCUAAUACCGCAUACGUCCUGAGGGAGAAAGUGGGGGAUCUUCGGACCUCACGCUAUCAGAUGAGCCUAGGUCGGAUUAGCUAGUUGGUGGGGUAAAGGCCUACCAAGGCGACGAUCCGUAACUGGUCUGAGAGGAUGAUCAGUCACACUGGAACUGAGACACGGUCCAGACUCCUACGGGAGGCAGCAGUGGGGAAUAUUGGGCAAGGGGCGAAAGCCUGAUCCAGCCAGGCCGCGUGUGUGAAGAAGGUCUUCGGAUUGUAAAGCACUGUAAGUUGGGAGGAAGGGCAGUAAGUUAAUACCUUGCUGUUUUGACGUUACCAACAGAAUAAGCACCGGCUAACUUCGUG